AAUAUGAGCGUAUGCACGCUUGGUUUCGGGCCUGUAGCUCAGGUGGUUAGAGCGCACGCCUGAUAAGCGUGAGUCGUAGUUUUCAAGUCUACCCAGGCCCACCACUCGCGAUUCCGGAACGGUAUGGUUCCGGCAACCGGGUCGUGGAUUUCUGACUUCUUGGCUUGAAGGGGCCAUAGCUCAGUUGGGAGAGCGCCUGCUUUGCAAGCAGGAGGUCGUCGGUUCGAUCCCGUCUGGCUCCACCAGCUUUGCCGGUUCCUGGCCGGCAUGCGCAUAUUCGGGAGAGACAAAAGUUUCGCCGCGGUCCGGCACGUCCGGUCGGCGGCCCGGAAGGAAACUUCCAAAAAACCGCAUUUACAUCGUGAAGAGGGGAUUUACCUGAGGCCUUCGUGGCCGGUGCUCCAGCCGGGCACCAUCCAGCGCUCCAGCUGGUACGCGAAGGAGGGCUCGAUGAACGGCACGUUGCCGGGAAUUGGGCAUGCGGACGACCGCUCCGUUAUUCGGGUGGAUCUCGAUUAUCUGGUCUUAAUCUCAUAUCCGUGCUUACGUCGGCUUCUCUCGCCGGCGUGUUUGAUGGGCAUUGAUAAUGAGAGUAAUCAAGUGACCUAAGAGCAUCAGGUGGAUGCCUUGGCGCACACAGGCGAUGAAGGACGUGGUACGCUGCGAAAAGCCAUGGGGAGCUGCGAACAAGCUUUGAUCCGUGGAUGUCCGAAUGGGGAAACCCGGAAGC
rnacentral:misc_RNA from 1 species